GAAGGAACUUAUAACAGAGAGAGCAGUGGUGGAAAUGAAUGCAUUCAGCAGCAGAACAUCAGCAUAACAACAGAUCACCUGCCUGAGACAAACAAACAUGGACAGUGACUGUGUUAUAGUUGGAGGGAAAGCAGAAGUGGAGGAACAUUGGUACGAUCUUUGGCACAGGUCGGAGACAAACAUCCUGACAUCCUGGGGCCAGUCGGGAUGCUCCUCAACAGUGGCUAAGAUAUUUAGGAGUGAUUAAACCAGAAGAGUAGAAGAAACAAAGCGACCACAAACAGAACAGAUAACAGCUGACGAAACCCACGCUCCCUCUCGUAGCCUGAGAUCAUCUACCCAAAGCCUGCCUGUAGUCCCACGAACUCGUUUUAAGACCAGAGGUGAUAGAUCUUUUAGAGCGGUGGCCCCCAGGUUGUGGAAUGCUCUCCCUCCAUCAUUACGUUGCCUUGAUUGUAUUUAUUCUUUUAAAAAGCAGCUUAAGACUCAUUUAUUUAGAUUGG